rnacentral:rRNA from 1 species
CUUUACUGCAAGCUGGUAUUGGUAUUAGACAUGUCUUGUGUAGGAUAGGUGGGAGGCUUCGAAGGGGGGGCGCUAGCUCUCUCUGAGCCGUCGUUGAAAUACCACCCUGGGCCUGUUUGAUAUCUAACCCUGACCCGUGAAUCCGGGCAGUGGACAGUGCCAGUUGGGCAGUUUGACUGGGGCGGUCUCCUCCAAAAAGGUAACGGAGGAGCCCAAAGGUACCCUCAGCCUGGUUGGCAAUCAGGCGUAGAGCGUAAAGGUAGAAGGGUGCUUGACUGCGAGACCUACAAGUCGAGCAGAAACGAAAGUUGGGCUUAGUGAUCCGGCGGUUCCGAAUGGAAGGGCCGUCGCUCAACGGAUAAAAGGUA